CGGUGGUGUGCGCAGAAGGGAUUGGGCGCGAGCCUGCCUGGAGCCGCCAUCGGUGCAGAUCUUGGUGGUAGUAGCAAAUACUCGAGCGAUAUCCUGGAGAUCUGAUGUGGAGAAGGGUUCCAUGUGAACAGCCUUUGCACAUGGGUCAGUCUGUCCUAAGCUGCAGGAGAAAUCCGGGUUCUGGCGAAAACGGCGUUCCCGGCUGAGAGAACAAAAAAUCUCGAACUUGGAUGUCGCCGCCAACCUAAGCGAGAGGGAAUCCGGUACUGAUUCCGGAACCUGGUCAUGGAUAACCUCUCUUCGGAGAGGGUCGUUGGGGUCCUCGUGAUCUACACCGUAAGGUAGCUAAACUCGGGGAAGUCGGCCGCUGUCCCGGGCAGAGUUUUCUGUUCUGUCUAAGGGCCCGGACUCCCUGGAAUCGCCUCGCGCGGAGAG
rnacentral:rRNA from 1 species